rnacentral:rRNA from 1 species
ACGGCUAACUUCGUGCCAGCAGCCGCGUAAUACGGAGGGUGCGAGCGUAAUCGGAAUUACUGGGCGUAAAGCGUGCGUAGGCGGCUUGAUAAGCCGGUUGUGAAAGCCCCGGGCUCAACCUGGGAACGGCAUCCGGAACUGUUAGGCUAGAGUGCAGGAGAGGAAGGUAGAAUUCCCCGGUGUAGCGGUGAAAUGCGUAGAGAUCGGGAGGAAUACCAGUGGCGAAGGCGGCCUUUCUGGACUGACACUGACGCUGAGGUACGAAAGCGUGGGUAGCAAACAGGAUUAGAUACCCUGGUAGUCCACGCCGUAAACGAUGUCGACUAGCCGUUGGGGUCCUCGAGACCUUUGUGGCGCAGUUAACGCACUAAGUCGACCGCCUGGGGAGUACGGCCGCAAGGUUAAAACUCAAAUGAAUUGACGGGGGCCCGCACAAGCGGUGGAGCAUGUGGUUUAAUUCGAUGCAACGCGAAGAACCUUACCUACCCUUGACAUCGUGCGAACUUUCCAGAGAUGGAUUGGUGCCUUCGGGAGCGCACAGACAGGUGCUGCAUGGCUGUCGUCAGCUCGUGUUGUGAAAUGUUGGGUUAAGUCCCGUAACGAGCGCAACCCUUGUCCCUAUUUGCCAGCGAUUCGGUCGGGAACUCUAGGGAGACUGCCGGUGACAAACCGGAGGAAGGUGGGGACGACGUCAAGUCAUCAUGGCCCUUACGGGUAGGGCUACACACGUGCUACAAUGGCCGGUACAAUGGGUUGCAAAGCGGCGACGUGGAGCUAAUCUCAUAAAGCCGGUCUCAGUCCGGAUCGGAGUCUGCAACUCGACUCCGUGAAGUCGGAAUCGCUAGUAAUCGUGCAUCAGAAUGGCACGGUGAAUACGUUCCCGGGCCUUGUACACACCGCCCGUCACACCAUGGGAGUGGACUGCACCAGAAGUGGUUAGCCUAACUUCGGAGGGCGAUCACCAUCGUGUCU